rnacentral:tRNA from 1 species
AUUUUUAUAGCUUAUUUAGAGCGUGGCUUUGAAGCAGCCAAGGAGAGCAGCUCUGGAAAUA